rnacentral:rRNA from 1 species
AGCAGCCGCGGUAAUUCCAGCUCCAAUAGCGUAUAUUAAAGUUGUUGCAGUUAAAAAGCUCGUAGUUGAAUUUCGGGAUCAAUUAAUUGGUCGUGCCUCUGGUACGCACUGGUUUUAUUGGUUUCUCCCUUCUGACGAACCACGAUGUCAUUAAUUUGGUGUCGUGGAGAAUCAGGACUGUUACUUUGAAAAAAUUAGAGUGUUUAAAGCAGGCUAACGCUUGAAUACAUUAGCAUGGAAUAAUGAAAUAGGACGUUUGAUCCUAUUUUGUUGGUUUCUAGGAUCGACGUAAUGAUUAAUAGGGAUAGUUGGGGGCAUUAGUAUUCAAUUGUCAGAGGUGAAAUUCUUGGAUUUAUUGAAGACUAGCUACUGCGAAAGCAUUUGCCAAGGAUGUUUCCAUUAAUCAAGAACGAAAGUUAGGGGAUCGAAGACGAUCAGAUACCGUCGUAGUCUUAACCAUAAACUAUGCCGACUAGGGAUCGGAUGAUGUUAAUUUUUUAAUGACUCAUUCGGCGCCUUACG